AUGCUCAGUGUAAAUUCUCCUGGAGCCUGUCAAGCUAUGUUUGAACUCGUUCCAGAAUACUGGAUUUACUUUUUUUUUUCCCACCAGGAAGAAUACUCGAUUAGACUGCCUUUUGCCUUGCUUUUCUUUUCUCUUUCUCCCUUCCUUCCUUCCUUCCUUCCUUUCUUUUUCUUUCUUUCUUUCUUUCUUUCUUUCUUUCUUUCUUUCUUUCUUUCUUUCUUUCUUUCUUUCUUUCUUUUUCUUCCUUCCUUCCUUCCUUCCUUCCUUCCUUCCUUCCUUCCUUCCUUCCUUCCUUUCUUUCUUUUUCUUUCUUUCUCUUUCUGUAUUCUUUUUGUCAGAAGAAUGGAAACAAUAUUCUUUUCCGAUCAGUUCAGUAAUACAAUGUCCUUCAGUGUCCAUAUGAGCAUUUCAGUGGAGAAGAAAAGAAACUUUGCUACCUGGGAACUGAAGACUACUUAGGCAAAGAUGGGCUGUCUGGAAAGCUGGACUCAGCCUGGAGCAUGUUCCCCAGAUUGCUAUUUUGUGAAGCCUUCCGCAUACAAAUGACUCAGAUCCAAACAUUCAAAAAUGAUCUUGGAGGGCCAUCUGGUUCUUGCUGGUUCUAAAAGACUCAUUCAGCCUGGGGUAUGGAUCCAGUACAAAAGAUAGUGAGAGCUCUUCAUUGAGGUUUAGUAUGUUCCACUGACCCAAGCUAGAAGCUGGCUUUUAAAAAUAGACAAGGCUGAUGCUCCAAGGGCCGAUGCAUGAUGCUUUGUAAUAGUGAAGAUCCUGGUGUUCCACAUCCAAUUGUUCUCAUCUUUCUAAGACCAUGGCACUCCAGAGAACCUUCACUGCUGAAGACUAAGUAAGACCUAGAGUGUUUCUUGGAUGAAGUACCAUUG